AACGCACAUUGCGCCCGCCAGUAUUCUGGCGGGCAUGCCUGUCCGAGCGUCAUUUCUACCAUCAAGCCCCCGGCUUGUGUUGGGGCCCUGCGGCCGUCCGCAGCCCCCGAAAUGCAGUGGCGGGCUCGCAACCGCACCGAGCGCAGUAGGAGACUCUCGCUCAGGGCGCGGCGGCGGGCGCCGGCCGUGAAACCCACCAAACACCAAAGGUUGACCUCGGAUCAGGUAGGGAUACCCGCUGAACUUAA
rnacentral:misc_RNA from 1 species